GACGAACGCUGGCGGCGUGCUUAACACAUGCAAGUCGAACGGAAAGGCCCUGCUUUUGUGGGGUGCUCGAGUGGCGAACGGGUGAGUAACACGUGAGUAACCUGCCAUUGACUUUGGGAUAACUUCAGGAAACUGGGACUAAUACCGGAUAGGAGCUCCUGCUGCAUGGUGGGGGUUGGAAAGUUUCGGCGGUUGGGGAUGGACUCGCGGCUUAUCAGCUUGUUGGUGGGGUAGUGGCUUACCAAGGCUUUGACGGGUAGCCGGCCUGCGAGGGUGACCGGCCACAUUGGGACUGAGAUACGGCCCGGACUCCUCCGGGAGGCAGCAGUGGGGAAUAUUGCACAAUGGGCGGAAGCCUGAUGCAGCAACGCCGCGUGCGGGAUAACGGCCUUCGGGUUGUAAACCGCUUUCGCCUGUGACGAAGCGUGAGUGACGGUAAAGGGUAAAGAAGCACCGGCUAACUACGUG
rnacentral:rRNA from 1 species